CCUACGGGAGGCAGCAGUGAGGAAUAUUGGUCAAUGGGCGCGAGCCUGAACCAGCCAAGUAGCGUGAAGGAUGACUGCCCUACGGGUUGUAAACUUCUUUUAUAAGGGAAUAAAGUGAGCUACGUGUGCCUUUUUGUACGUACUUUAUGAAUAAGGAUCGGCUAACUCCGUGCCAGCAGCCGCGGUAAUACGGAGGAUCCGAGCGUUAUCCGGAUUUAUUGGGUUUAAAGGGAGCGUAGAGGGGAUGUUAAGUCAGUUGUGAAAGUGUGGGGCGUUACCUUAAAAUUGCAAUUGAUACUGGAAGCCUAGAGUACAGUUGAGGUAGGCGGAAUUAGUGGUGUAGCGGUGAAAUGCUUAGAGAUCACGAAGAACUCCGAUAGCGAAGGCAGCUUACUAAACUGCCACUGACACUGAUGCUCGAGAGUGUGGGUAGCAAACAGGAUUAGAUACCCUAGUAGUC
rnacentral:rRNA from 1 species